CUCUCAGUCCCGAACUUUACAGGCCGCCCCCUGACGUCAGGAAGGGCCCUGCCAAUGGAGAGGGGCGGCCUGGACCCUAGGAGAGGGGAAGUGGGGGAGGGUCCUCGUGCACAAAGGCCGCGCUCGGGGGAGGGGUUUAUGUACACGUUCCCUAGAGGAGGGAGGGAGCCCACUCGGACCCAAGCCAGGGCCUAAUUCCAACUCGAUUCUUCCUUUAAAUUCCCCAGGCCAGUUAGCCCCCAAAUCAUCCUGGAUCUCUGAAACUGAGACCCAGUGAGGUCAGGCUCCUGCUCCAAGCUCACCCCACGUAGGAAGUGGCAACACUGGAAUUCGAGCUAAAGGGCUGAUUAAUGCUGAUAGCAACCCCAGCCCCUGCUGUAUUUUAAGGAUUUUGUCAGAAGCAGCAGAUUGCUAACAGUUAUUUGGUUAUAUGGUCAUCUUAACGAAGUCCAGCAAAAUUCCAGAGCUAUAAAGUCAUCACAAACAAGUUCCAGAUGAUUGCUGACAGAUUUUCCAAAUAUGCUAAAAAAGGGUCUACAACAAGGGUCUACUUGCAUCAGUUUCUGAAAGCAAUAUACUCUGCCUCUUCAAAAGGAACUCAACAAUUUCCUGUGCAUUAUACAGAAUUAUAGACAACAUUUAUGUGGGCUGCUGCUGAUCUUCAUCCUUCCC
rnacentral:lncRNA from 1 species